GUGGGGAAUAUUCCGCAAUGGACGAAAGUCUGACGGAGCAACGCCGCGUGAGUGAUGAAGGUUUUCGGACUGUAAAGCUCUGUUGUUUGGGACGAAAGUGCCUGUUGCGAACAGUUACGGGUAUUGACGGUACUAAACGAGGAAGCCACGGCUAACUACGUGCCAGCAGCCGCGGUAAUACGUAGGUGGCAAGCGUUGUCCGGAAUUAUUGGGCGUAAAGAGCAUGUAGGCGGGAAUCUAAGUCUGUUGUUAAAAUGCGGGGCUCAACCCCGUAUUGCGAUGGAAGCUGGGUCUCUUGAGUGCAGGAGAGGAAAGGGGAAUUCCCAGUGUAGCGGUGAAAUGCGUAGAUAUUGGGAGGAACACCAGUGGCGAAGGCGCCUUUCUGGACUGUGUCUGACGCUGAGAUGCGAAAGCCAGGGUAGCGAACGGGAUUAGAUACCCCAGUAGUCC
rnacentral:rRNA from 1 species